rnacentral:misc_RNA from 1 species
AACAUCGCGCACCUGCGGGAACCUGCGGAGGGAUCAUUAUCAGAAGCGCCGAAAGGCUGCUUUAACACCAUCGCGAACCUAUCCAUCAGCGUUGCUUCGGCGGGUUGGGGGCCACCUCUCCGGGGUGGCGCCGCCCGCCGGAGGUACGAAACUCUUCUGAAUCUUAGUGGAAUCUCUGAGUAAGCAAGCAAAUAAUCAAAACUUUCAACAACGGAUCU